rnacentral:rRNA from 1 species
UGGGGAAUAUUGCACAAUGGGGGAAACCCUGAUGCAGCCAUGCCGCGUGUGUGAAGAAGGCCUUCGGGUUGUAAAGCACUUUCAGCGAGGAGGAAAGGUGGCUAGCUAAUACCUAGUUACUGUGACGUUACUCGCAGAAGAAGCACCGGCUAACUCCGUGCCAGCAGCCGCGGUAAUACGGAGGGUGCAAGCGUUAAUCGGAAUUACUGGGCGUAAAGCGCACGCAGGCGGUUAUAUAAGUCAGAUGUGAAAGCCCCGGGCUCAACCUGGGAACUGCAUUUGAAACUGUGUAACUAGAGUCUUGUAGAGGGGGGUAGAAUUCCAGGUGUAGCGGUGAAAUGCGUAGAGAUCUGGAGGAAUACCGGUGGCGAAGGCGGCCCCCUGGACAAAGACUGACGCUCAGGUGCGAAAGCGUGGGGAGCAAACA